UACGUAGGGUCCGAGCGUUGUCCGGAAUUAUUGGGCGUAAAGGGCUCGUAGGCGGUUCGUCACGUCGGGAGUGAAAACUCGGAGCUUAACUCCGAGCCUGCUUCCGAUACGGGCAGACUAGAGGUAGGCAGGGGAGAGCGGAACUCCUGGUGUAGCGGUGGAAUGCGCAGAUAUCAGGAAGAACACCGGUGGCGAAGGCGGCUCUCUGGGCCUUACCUGACGCUGAGAAGCGAAAGCAUGGGGAGCGAACAGG
rnacentral:rRNA from 1 species